rnacentral:rRNA from 1 species
GAUGAACGCUGGCGGCGUGCUUAACACAUGCAAGUCGAACGAAGCAUACCAGUAGAAGCCUUCGGGUAGAAGCAGGUAUGACUGAGUGGCGGACGGGUGAGUAACGCGUGGGUAACCUGCCUCAUACAGGGGGAUAACAGUUGGAAACAGCUGCUAAAACCGCAUAAGCGCACAGUAUCGCAUGGUACAGUGUGAAAAGCUCCGGUGGUAUGAGAUGGACCCGCGUCUGAUUAGCUAGUUGGUGAGGUAACGGCUCACCAAGGCGACGAUCAGUAGCCGGCCUGAGAGGGUGAACGGCCACAUUGGGACUGAGACACGGCCCAAACUCCUACGGGAGGCAGCAGUGGGGAAUAUUGCACAAUGGGGGAAACCCUGAUGCAGCGACGCCGCGUGAGUGAAGAAGUAUUUCGGUAUGUAAAGCUCUAUCAGCAGGGAAGAAAAUGACGGUACCUGACUAAGAAGCCCCGGCUAACUACGUGCCAGCCGCCGCGGUAAAAC